GCGCCUGUAGCUCAGCGGAUAGAGCAGCUGCCUUCUAAGCAGCCGGCCGCAGGUUCGAUCCCUGCCAGGCGCGCCA
rnacentral:tRNA from 1 species